AUGGCAAAGAGUGUAUGGGCGCUCCACGAGGAUGCCAAGCUAUGGCUAUUUGGCUUGAGCAAAACGCUGGAUAGUGCUAUGUUUGUGGAGGUCUUGGUGACCCUUUGGACGAUAGGGUGGGCUCGACGUCGAGCAAUUCAUGAGGGGGAAUUUCAGAGCCCUUGGUCCAGCUACUUGUUCAUUAGACAAUACCUUGAGGAGGUCGAGUACUGUAGCAGAACGACACCACCUGCUCGGCCUACCACUAGGACGAGGAGGGAACUGGAAAAGUGGGUUCGGCCUGGGCCAGGCAUGGUGAAACUUAAUGCUGGCGAAGCUGUGGCCAAAAAACCAAACAAAGGGACAGUCGAAAUUGUCCGCGGGAGUGAAGAUGGACAUUUCCUGGGUGCUUCGGCUGUUGUGUUACCUGGGGUGAUGGAUCUGGCGACCCUAAAAGCUGAUGCAUGCAGGGAGACCAUGACCUUAGUUGAGGAUCUGCAUUUUUCAAGCAGCGUGCAUGUAACAGAGAACCCCAUGGCUAGGAUGGCAACUAGUCUAUAG
rnacentral:rRNA from 1 species